rnacentral:rRNA from 1 species
GUUAUAUGGUCAAGUGAAUAAGCGCAUACGGUGGAUGCCUUGGCAGUCAGAGGCGAUGAAAGACGUUGUAGCCUGCGAUAAGGUUCGGGGAGCUGGCAAACAAGCUAUGAUCCGGACAUUUCUGAAUGGGGAAACCCACCCAGCAUAAGCUGGGUAUCACACACUGAAUACAUAGGUGUGUGAGGCGAACCGGGGGAACUGAAACAUCUAAGUACCCCGAGGAAAAGAAAUCAACCGAGAUUCCCCAAGUAGUGGCGAGCGAACGGGGAGCAGCCCUUAAGCAGUUUAGAGUUUAGUGGAACGCCCUGGAAAUGGCGGCCGUAGUGGGUGAUAGCCCCGUACACGAAAGGCUCUUAGCUGUGAAAUCGAGUAGGACGGCGCACGUGAAACGUUGUCUGAACAUGGGGGGACCAUCCUCCAAGGCUAAAUACUCCUGACUGACCGAUAGUGAACCAGUACCGUGAGGGAAAGGCGAAAAGAACCCCUGUGAGGGGAGUGAAAUAGAACCUGAAACCGUAUGCGUACAAGCAGUGGGAGCGGACUUGUUCCGUGACUGCGUACCUUUUGUAUAAUGGGUCAGCGACUUAUAUUCUGUGGCGAGCUUAACCGUAUAGGGGAGGCGUAGGGAAACCGAGUCUUAAUAGGGCGAACAGUCGCAGGGUAUAGACCCGAAACCGGGCGAUCUAUCCAUGGGCAGGUUGAAGGUGCCGUAACAGGCACUGGAGGACCGAACCGACUACCGUUGAAAAGUUAGCGGAUGACUUGUGGAUAGGAGUGAAAGGCUAAUCAAGCUCGGAGAUAGCUGGUUCUCCUCGAAAGCUAUUUAGGUAGCGCCUCGUGUAUCACCACUGGGGGUAGAGCACUGUUUGGGCUAGGGGGUCAUCCCGACUUACCAACCCCAUGCAAACUCCGAAUACCAGUGAGUGCGAGCACGGGAGACACACGGCGGGUGCUAACGUCCGUCGUGAAAAGGGAAACAACCCAGACCGUCAGCUAAGGUCCCAAAGUUAUGGUUAAGUGGGAAACGAUGUGGGAAGGCUUAGACAGCUAGGAGGUUGGCUUAGAAGCAGCCAUCCUUUAAAGAAAGCGUAAUAGCUCACUAGUCGAGUCGGCCUGCGCGGAAGAUGUAACGGGGCUCAAACCAUACACCGAAGCUACGGGUGCAUCUUAGGAUGUGCGGUAGAGGAGCGUUCUGUAAGCCUGUGAAGGUCAAUUGAGAAGUUGGCUGGAGGUAUCAGAAGUGCGAAUGCUGACAUGAGUAACGACAAUGGGAGUGAAAAACUCCCACGCCGGAAGACCAAGGGUUCCUGCGCAACGUUAAUCGACGCAGGGUGAGUCGACCCCUAAGGCGAGGCCGAAAGGCGUAGUCGAUGGGAAACGGGUUAAUAUUCCCGUACUUCUAGUUACUGCGAUGGGGGGACGGAGAAGGCUAGGCCAGCAAGGCGUUGGUUGUCCUUGUUUAAGGCGGUAGGCUGGGAUCUUAGGUAAAUCCGGGAUCCUAAGGCCGAGAACCGAUGACGAGCUUUCUUUUAAGAAAGCGAAGUGGUUGAUGCCAUGCUUCCAGGAAAAGCCUCUAAGCUUCAGGUAACUAGGAAUCGUACCCCAAACCGACACAGGUGGUCAGGUAGAGAAUACCAAGGCGCUUGAGAGAACUCGGGUGAAGGAACUAGGCAAAAUGGCACCGUAACUUCGGGAGAAGGUGCGCCGGCUAGGGUGAAGGAUUUACUCCGUAAGCUCUGGCUGGUCGAAGAUACCAGGCCGCUGCAACUGUUUAUUAAAAACACAGCACUCUGCAAACACGAAAGUGGACGUAUAGGGUGUGACGCCUGCCCGGUGCCGGAAGGUUAAUUGAUGGGGUUAGCUUCGGCGAAGCUCUUGAUCGAAGCCCCGGUAAACGGCGGCCGUAACUAUAACGGUCCUAAGGUAGCGAAAUUCCUUGUCGGGUAAGUUCCGACCUGCACGAAUGGCGUAAUGAUGGCGGCGCUGUCUCCACCCGAGACUCAGUGAAAUUGAAAUCGCUGUGAAGAUGCAGUGUAUCCGCGGCUAGACGGAAAGACCCCGUGAACCUUUACUAUAGCUUUGCACUGGACUUUGAAUUUGCUUGUGUAGGAUAGGUGGGAGGCUUUGAAGCGUGGACGCCAGUUCGCGUGGAGCCAACCUUGAAAUACCACCCUGGCAACUUUGAGGUUCUAACUCUGGUCCGUUAUCCGGAUCGAGGACAGUGUAUGGUGGGUAGUUUGACUGGGGCGGUCUCCUCCCAAAGAGUAACGGAGGAGUACGAAGGUGCGCUCAGCACGGUCGGAAAUCGUGCGUAGAGUAUAAAGGCAAAAGCGCGCUUGACUGCGAGACCAACACGUCGAGCAGGUACGAAAGUAGGUCUUAGUGAUCCGGUGGUUCUGUAUGGAAGGGCCAUCGCUCAACGGAUAAAAGGUACUCCGGGGAUAACAGGCUGAUACCGCCCAAGAGUUCAUAUCGACGGCGGUGUUUGGCACCUCGAUGUCGGCUCAUCACAUCCUGGGGCUGAAGCCGGUCCCAAGGGUAUGGCUGUUCGCCAUUUAAAGUGGUACGCGAGCUGGGUUUAGAACGUCGUGAGACAGUUCGGUCCCUAUCUGCCGUGGACGUUUGAGAUUUGAGAGGGGCUGCUCCUAGUACGAGAGGACCGGAGUGGACGAACCUCUGGUGUUCCGGUUGUCACGCCAGUGGCAUUGCCGGGUAGCUACGUUCGGAAGAGAUAACCGCUGAAAGCAUCUAAGCGGGAAACUUGCCUCAAGAUGAGAUCUCACCGGGAGCUUGACUCCCCUGAAGGGCCGUCGAAGACUACGACGUUGAUAGGCUGGGUGUGUAAGCGUUGCAAGGCGUUGAGCUAACCAGUACUAAUUGCCCGUGUGGCUUGACCAUAUAACACCCAAGCAAUU